rnacentral:lncRNA from 1 species
AAUGGACCUACAUUUGAGAAUGGACCAUUUAUUAUUAUAGCAUAAAAUGCUGUUUCGGACUCCGAUGCAAGGAAAGUCUAGCUUCCGCUAUAUAUAGAUCUGGAUAAUUUUGUAAAUUAUCAUCUCCAAUGCACUCAAUCAUGAUUGUGAAAUUCUGGACGAACCUCAUGGUUCAUGGUGUAAUUAAUGUACCUGGGAUUAAUGCCAUGCCAUCUAAUUUUUCAUGUGCAGCAC